GCUCCUUAUUUAAUAAUUCAAAUUUUUUUUUCGAUGAAAUGAGCCGGCCACAGCAUGCAGACGCUGGAACGUUAGGGUUCUUAGAAGCGAGAAUAGAGAAGAGAGCGGGGAAGGGAGAGGAGGAGGAGAGGGAGAGGAGGAGGAGAGAGAGAGGAGAGGCGGAAGUAGACGGAGUUUAGGGUUCUUGUUGCCUUCGUCUUCUUCCGCGUCCGGAUUGGACUCUAGGGUUUCGUCCUCGUGGCGCCUUUGGACGAGAGAAGAGAGCAGGGAAGGAGAGGAGGAGACUCGAUAGGAGGAGAGAGAGAGAGAGGGAGAGGCGGAAGGAGACGGAGUUUCUUGUUGCCUUCCUCAUCUUCCUUGGUGCCUAGGACGAGCAUUUCUGCAUCUUAGCACAUCCCCACCCUAAAUGAUCAAACACAAUAGGAGGUCUCUCAUGGAUUUGUUGAAACUAUUGUAGCAUUUCCAUGAUUCAGAAUCCGAAUGAUACUUCUACAAGUAACUUGGGUGAUACAGCUAAGGCAAUGGUCUACACUUGCUAGUCUUUUAGCAGCUACUGACCACAAGGAAUGCCUUAAUCAAGUUGUCAAGUUAAAUGGCCUUUCUUUUCUGAAAAAAUGUCUUCAAGAAGCACUAGGUAAUAUAUUGAUGACAAUGGAAUUGUUGUGGAGGAACUGAUCCUUUCAUUGUUGACAUCAUGCGAGAAGCUUCCUGUGGAUCCUGAAAAAACGAAUGCAUCAGGAUUUGGAGAAACUAUUGAACCUUUCAUGGAUUUACAGGCUCAUUGCAUUUCAUCAUGGGGCCAUGAUUUCAGGUUAGCAUCAAAGAUUUUCGAUAUGGAUAUUGUAUAGGUAAUGGCCUCAGUUCUUGCAGGCAGGCCUAGCUAUCACAAGCUAUCUUCACUAAGGAUCCACCUUCCAGGUGUCCCAAUUCUAGCUUUAACUGCCACAGUUGUUUCACAUUCAAUCUAAAGACCUCCUGGAUGAUCCCUAUGUUGAUCUCUCUAAUUUAUUCAAGUCUAAUUGAAAUGCAUGCUCAAUUAUUUAUUGUCUUGAGCAUGCCUCCUGCGUUGACUUAUCAGCUUACCUGUCAAAGAAUGGCAUUUCGUCAGCAGUUUACCAUGCUGGUUUGAGUAGAAAAUUGCGAACUAGUGUAUUGGGUGACUGAUUAUCUUCCAAAGUUCAGGUUGUUGCAACAGUUGCUUUUGGCAUGUCUCAUAUCUGCACACAAGGAAUUCCUCAAAUAUGAUGUAUCUUUCGAUAAAGAAUUCAUUCUACAUAAUGCCACUAUGAAAAAGAGAGAAUCUUCACUUCCCUCAGGUGGCUUGCCAGAGAAGUCUGUAGCUACAUUUACUCAGAUGGUGGAAUACUACGAAGGUUCUGGUUGUCAUAGGGGGGAGAUUCUUCCAAGUUUUGGCGAACAGGUGUCAACAUCUUUAUGUCAGAAAUCAUGUGAUUCAUGUAAACAACCAAGCAUAGUUGUACAACACCUAAAGGAUCUUGAGGGAAAAACUUACUCCCAGAAGGACAAGUUCUUUCCCAUUUUGACUAAAAGAAAUUGAAGCAUGGAGGAAGGUCGGGCCAUAGUUCAUGCUUCAGAACCCAUGUUAUCAUCAAUGAUGCCAAUCUGAAGAAUUUUGUUGACUUGAUAUAAAUAAAUCAUCCCAAUUUAUUCUGGAUGUCUUAAAUGGCACAUUGCAUUGAUUUGAGGAUGAAGGAAAUUGCAAGAUGGUGAAGAAGCUCAACCUACAUUCCUUUAGAAGGUCAACAUACUGAAUUUUGGAAUUGAGAAGAUGAUGACAGUUUCUUCGAGGAAGCUAUACCAGAUUCUGGAGGUAUCCUUUAUCAAAGUACUUUAUCAUUGAUUUCUGGAGACCAAGUGGCUGAAUCCUCAGUUAUAGCAAAAUGCUGUGAUGGUUCACAGAAUAAUCCCAAGGGUAUUAUUGAACGAAUAUAUCCAUUGGGUGCAGCGAUUGGUAAACCAAAAUCUUCUACUGAGGGCAUCUCUCCUGCAAAAAUUGCACAAUCUGAGUGGAAGAGUUUGACAGAAAGUGAUAAUUCCUCCGAGUCUACUGC